rnacentral:lncRNA from 1 species
CGCAAAGAAGAUCGUCGUGAAGUCCAAGAGCUUGUUGGGAGUCCGUUGGAAUAUUGCCCGAGAGUUCGUCGGAAGUUCACCGAAAGAUCACCGGAAGCUCGCCGGAAGAAACCAAGACAUAAGGACUUGUUUAGCUUAGUAAAUGUCUUAGAUUUCGUAGUUAGCACCUAAUUAGAUUUCUUAAUAAUCUCAUAACCCUUGGGCAUCCAAUGAUAACACACUAAAAAAAUGAUAUUUUUAAACUGUAUAAAGUCCUUGACCUUCAUACUGCCACAAAAUCCUU